UAUCGAUCGCCUUCUAACGGNCGUCUCGCAUUAGGGUUUGAUCAUGGCCUCAGGUACGUAACGCUGCGCGGACGAUGACCUAAUACCUGCCAGUCGUAGUCGGNACCGCAAAGGUAGCUUGCUCCUUUACGUUAGCGGCGGACGGGUGCAGUAACACGUGGGCAACCUGCCCUGCANACGGGGGGGGCUUCGGGAAACCGGNGCUAAUACCGGAUAACACCGAAAACCGCAUGGUUUUCGGUUGAAAGGCGGCUUUUAGCUGUCACUGCAGGAUGGGCCCGCGGCGCAUUAGCUAGUUGGUGAGGUAACGGCUCACCAAGGCGACGAUGCGUAGCCGACCUGAGAGGGUGACCGGCCACACUGGGACUGAGACNCGGCCCAGACUCCUACGGGAGGCAGCAGUAGGGAAUCUUCCGCAAUGGACGAAAGUCUGACGGAGCAACGCCGCGUGAGCGAAGAAGGUCUUCGGAUCGUAAAGCUCUGUUGUCAGGGAAGAACAAUAUACCGUUCGAACAGGGCGGUACCUUGAACGGUUCCUGACUANGAAUGCCACGGCUAACUACGUGCCAGCCACCCGCGGUAAUACGUAGGUGGCAAGCGUUGUCCGGAAUUAUUGGGGCGUAAAACCCGCGCAUGCGGUUCCUUAANNCUGAUGUGAAUUCUCCCGGCUCACCGCCGAGCGGCCAUUGGAAACUGGGGUACUUGAGUGCACGAGAGGGUAGCGAAAUUCCCCGUCUUACCGUUGAAAUGCGNNUAGUUGUGCAGGAACACCCGUUGGAGAAAGNNUCCUCCCUGGCCUGUACUGACGCUAGGCGC
rnacentral:rRNA from 1 species